UACAGAGGGGGCGAGCGUUGUUCGGAAUUACUGGGCGUAAAGGGCGCGUAGGCGGCCCGCUAAGUCGAACGUGAAAUCCCCAGGCUCAACCUGGGAACUGCGUCCGAUACUGGCAGGCUUGAAUCCGGGAGAGGGAUGUGGAAUUCCAGGUGUAGCGGUGAAAUGCGUAGAUAUCUGGAGGAACACCGGUGGCGAAGGCGGCAUCCUGGACCGGUAUUGACGCUGAGGCGCGAAAGCUAGGGGAGCAAACGGGG
rnacentral:rRNA from 1 species